ACUCCUGCGGGAGGCAGCAGUGGGGAAUUUUGGACAAUGGGCGAAAGCCUGAUCCAGCAAUGCCGCGUGAGUGAAGAAGGCCUUCGGGUUGUAAAGCUCUUUUGUCAGGGAAGAAACGGUGAAAGCUAAUAUCUUUUGCUAAUGACGGUACCUGAAGAAUAAGCACCGGCUAACUACGUGCCAGCAGCCGCGGUAAUACGUAGGGUGCAAGCGUUAAUCGGAAUUACUGGGCGUAAAGCGUGCGCAGGCGGUUUUGUAAGUCUGAUGUGAAAUCCCCGGGCUCAACCUGGGAAUUGCAUUGGAGACUGCAAGGCUAGAAUCUGGCAGAGGGGGGUAGAAUUCCACGUGUAGCAGUGAAAUGCGUAGAUAUGUGGAGGAACACCGAUGGCGAAGGCAGCCCCCUGGGUCAAGAUUGACGCUCAUGCACGAAAGCGUGGGGAGCAAACAGGAUUAGAAACCCUAGUAGUCCCAU
rnacentral:rRNA from 1 species